rnacentral:rRNA from 1 species
AUGCGGGAGCUGUGGCUUAAUUCGAAGCAACGCGAAGAACCUUAUCCAGGGUUUGACAUGUAUGGAUUAACUCAUUGAAAGAUGAGCCACACCUUCGGGUGGAACAUACACAGGUGCUGCAUGGCUGUCGUCAGCUCGUGCUGUGAAGUGUCGGGUUAAGUCCCUCAACGAGCGCAACCCUUGUCUUUAGUUGCUAACAGGUAAUGCUGAGGACUCUAGAGAGACUGCCGGUGUUAAACCGGAGGAAGGUGGGGA